CAGUGGCUUAUUUAAAGCAUGUUGUUCCUAAUCCAAUACACAUACAUGGUUCCCAGUCAGUCCUUUUAAAGUAUAGGAGCUGGUACUUCAGUCGAGUGACUCACUGUAUCAGCCACCAGUUAGUCAAACAAAAUGUGCUUUCUCUGGGAAAGUAAAUUCAAUGCAGCAGUGUUAGUCACCAUAUGCUGGACUAGUUGACCAUAAUGUAGUCAUAUCCCCAAAACAUGAUCUUUUCCACCUUGUUUCUGAGAUUUUCCUCAAAGUUGUACGUGUUCUGUACAGCAAAUGAUAGUGAAUUGGUUUGGUGCAGUUAGUGAGUAGCCUUUACCUUUUAAGGUCUGUAAAAGGAUCUCAUCCUUCUCUUUAGCCUUAAAGAUUGAAGAAAGCUUUCAGGUAACUGUUGAUUUGAAGAGUUCAUUGUGAGUCAGGCAGUGCACCUAAUUUGUCUCAUUUUUUUCAAGAGGAAUUAUUGGGAUUGAAAGUUCAUCUUUUCAACUGUGCUUUGUUUAAUGAGUUCUUGUAGCUGUUCUGGUAUUUAUCUGUGUUUUGCAGAGCUGGGAUGAGACCAUAGGCCCAAGUGGGGAAAACUCUUCCUCUGGAAGAGGAGGGGUUUUAUGGUUUUAUUACAUCAUUUUGGCAAAGAGUGUCAGGAGGCCUGACUAGGCAUGAAACACUGAAAAUAGUCACAAAGGGAAUACAGCCCAAGAAAUAAAACCAGCGUAGUGAAGGUAUCAGGCUGAAUAACUUUGUUGGCAUUGUUAAACUGAUUUAUUCCCUAAUACCCUGCCAGGGGAAUUGGGGAGUGACACACCUACACCCCUAUUGCUGAGUGUCAAAUUUGGCACUUGAUUUCUUCUAACUGCUGGAAGGAAAGCACUUUGUCUAGUGUCUGGGGAAGAUUUUGGUAAGGAGAGAUGCUCCCAUGUACUAGUACAGUUCUGUGUCAAAUGUGUUGAUGUGACAGACAAGCCUUACCAAUGCAUUGAGGAAAUCGAUAGACCUCAGAGCAGCCUGUUCUCUUCUCAGGGAGUGAUGAAAUGCUGAGAACUCGCUAUCUGGCAUGUGUCAGCCUCAUUCAGAAAUGGGAAGUCAUGGAAAUCUGCUGGAAGGAUGUUACCUGCUUUUUAUAAACACACCUCUCUCAAAAAUGGAGAAGUGAGCACUCAAAAUACCUACUGCUAUACUAAUAGCAUGGGACUUUGGGAUUGGUGAAGAAGUGAAAGGGAAAUUGAGUAGGUUUUUUGACAGUCUUCUAGAUUAAAAAUAGCUUUGGAACAUACAUUUUUUAUUUAGUAAACUCUUGAGUAAUCUCACAGGCACCUGUAAAAUUCAUAUUCAGCUGUGUUAUCUGUUUUUAGACUGUAUCUGAAUUUAGGUAUUCAGUGGAUAGUGACAGACCAGGUAGUGCUGGAUUUCCAUAGUCUAUCUUACAGCGACAUCAAGACAAAACUAAUGAUGUCUGUCUGGAGAGAAUAAAUGAUGCAAGGGAGAGAACUGGCUGCUUUUACAGUUGCCUUCAAAGGGCACAGUUGCAGUUUGUUUUUGUCUCUCUCGGGCAUAGAUAUCCUGUAGUGUAUAGGCAUAUUGUCGUGAAGCCAAACUGCUUUGGUCCUGCCUUAGGAAAAUACUUGAAAUACAGUGAAUAUGGGAAUGCUGAUUUUUCCCUGAGACAUUUUUACAUGCAUAAUACAAAUAGUGUAUAUGUAAUAUAUAUGCCUGUAUGCACAACCUUUAUACAAACAGAUGUGUAAAUGUGUCUAUAUAUAGAUAGUUUUGUACACAAACUGACGGAUACUGUAAGAGAACGCCUUUGGUCAUUUGACAGCAUGGGAGUAUAUGGCUUGUAACAGCUGAAACAGAUGUACCUUGAGCUGUCUUCUAUGGGUCUGGAGGAGAUGACUCAGGAUUUCACUGAUGUUAGUUCAGAUUUGAAAUCCUGGGAUCCCUUUGCUGACAUUCCAGGCUUAAGUGUGGCAGCCCGAGAGGUUAAACAGCUCAUCUGAAGUCUGCCUCUGAUUAUUGAAAAUGCAAAGCAGGAGUUUGUGCAGUCCCACAGGCUGGUGUUAAGUCAUCAGAAAUGACUGCUGCCUUGCACAUGCUGGGAGAAGUCACACAGGUAUCAAAUCCCCCUCACUGGCUCUUGAAAAACGUAUGUGCUAUGAAUGUGUUAUGGAUCAGGCUAGAAGGGACAUUUAUGAUCUUUUCCUGCAUAACGCACUUCUUCGUUUUUGCAUUAAAUCUAUGGUUUAUCCCUGAGCACAUAGUUGUAGCUUUUGGGAAAGCAGCCCUGUUCUAAGAUGUUAAAGUAAGACACAAUUAAGAGCUCAAGUUGUUCAGUUAAUUGCUUUAAAAAAACUGUUUCUCGUUUCUUAUCUGAGAUCUAAGUUAGUGCAGCUUCAGCUUCCAACCCUUGGGGCCUGCUUCUGUCAGUUACUGAACUUCUUCCCUUUCAGCUUCCUUCAGCCAGUGACAAUCAACUCCCUUCUACAUGAAUUAUUUUUUAAUACAUAUGUUAAGGCAGCUUUAAAAUACAUGUUGUUAAGGCAGCGUUUGUAGCUAUACAGCUCUUUCACGUUGCAAGGUGUCAGUAUCUUUUUGUUGCUGACCAUUUGUACAACAGAUUUGGGCAGAGUCAUCGACAUCCAUUUUCACAAGUACUAGGCAAAGAGACUACCUCAGUAUUCACCUGGUGUGUAUUCUCUUGCACAGUCUUUUCAUCUUCUCAGGGAAACUUGUCUGUCAGUAUUCAGUGCAUGGAAACACUUCCUCUGUGUCACUGUAAAAGAGGAGGAUUGAUGGCAUGCUGAGAGGAAUGUUUUUCCCCUUGUGAAAAUAUAGCAUGUCUUCUUUCGUGGCUCUGAAGUGCCAAAACUGAGAAAUCUCAUCGGAAUAACUGUGUGUUUACCAAGGAUCCAGCAUGUUGCUUCCAACAGGCACUCCAGGUGCCGAUACUCCUGAUUUAUACCUGCAUUGUUAUAUUUCCCAAUUGUCUGUUUGGUUUUAAAGAACAUGCAGCAUCACAGCCCUGUGUAAAACGGAGUCUUGGUUUUGCCUUUUGUCCCCUAGCUAUUGUCUGCUGCCAUCAGCGAAGGGACUUAUAAUUGUUUCCCUAGCUUUUCCAUGGCUAGAUCAGUAGUAAAGCUUGUAGCUGUUAUUUUGAUACCUUAAUGAUGAAUUAUUUUCCAUAGGUUUGUGUAUCAGUUUGGUUCUGGUCCAGGUUUUAGGAAGCAGCAUGGGUUUUAACUCUAGCUGAAUUUUAGCAUCUCUGGUUGUCACUGAUGAUAUUUCUAGUCCAUUGACUUCAUGUAGCUUUAUACACUGUUAUGAUGUUUGUAGACAUUGUGGUUUUAUUCUGAGGAAGGGGGGAUCAUACAUUUGUAAGAAUUUUAAGGGGAAAAUUCAGGAGAGUUGGAAUUUAUAUAUGACAUACUGCAGUUAAACAUUAUUCUAGACAAUUCAUUAUGUGCUUAUGGCUGUCAUUUUUAUGGUCUCUAGUUUUUAAUAGAUCAUCCUUAUAGUUGUGGUUUCUAGUCCUGCUCAAAUCAUGUCAUUCUGAUUCCUUACCAGAGUAAUGCUAGCACAUGAGCAAAAUUCCCCCAAAAGACACUGAGAACAGUAUUGCCAGCCUCAUUUCACCUGGGAUAAUGCUAUAUUUUCAUGAACUGCAACCUCAGAUAAAUCACACAGUGCCAACACCGGCAAUACACAAAGCCAGAAGCUGUUGGGAAAGAGAGGUUGUUUGGACAAACUUCUGCUUGUGUCACUUCCAUGCUGUUGUGACAGCUGAUGAAUCUCUUUUCCUUUUUUGCCCUUUUUUUACUUGAGAAAAUACAUCAUUGGUUGGCUUUUGCUAUUUUAAUUUAUUAAAGGCUUCUCUUGGUGAUAAAAUUUUUAAUUCAGGUUUGUUUCUGUGGAGGUGGAUUUAUAAUGUUCAUGGUGUUAUGGAGUCUGAAGCCGCAUCUUCCCCUUGGGAUUUUAAGUGCGCUAUAUAGCCUUAGUUCCUUAGGAAACUAAGCUUAAAGAAAAGUCUCUCUUCUCAAUUGCUUGCAGUCUUUGGAGGUUGUUCUAAUGAGUCUUCUAGGAUGAACAUUUUCCUUGAAUUACUUUAGGACUGUUGCCUUUACAAGUGAAAGCACUAAUUUAAUUCCUUUAGAAAUCCAUUGAUAAUUGAGAACAGUUGCUGACUACGUAUUUCACAGAAGAGCUUUUAUAACCUUUCAUAACUGUAUGUAGGUUUUUUCAAUCCUGAAAUAACAAACUAUUCAGAAUUUUUAUAGAAUAAUCUUAAUUUCUCAAACCCUUUCUUGGGCAACUGGUCAAGCCAGCAGCAACUGAUAAAAUGCCAGUGCGUGGGCCAGAUUCUGAAGGGGACAUUAAGGUAUCUUCUGAAAACAGGUAAAUCAUUG